UACGGGGGGGGCAAGCGUUGUUCGGAAUUACUGGGCGUAAAGGGCUCGUAGGCGGCCAACUAAGUCAAACGUGAAAUCCCUCGGACUUAACCGGGGGAACUGCCGUCUGAUACUGGAUGGCUUGAGUUUGGGAGAGGGAUGCGGAAUUCAGGUGUAGCGGUGAAAUGCGUAGAUAAUCUGGAGGAACACCGGUGGCGGAAAGGGCG
rnacentral:rRNA from 1 species